UGUAUCUGAAGUCUGACGAGGAUGAGAACCUCCGGGGGCAAGAGGUUCGACUCGAGCGAAGCGAGAGAACGUUGCGUCAG
rnacentral:sRNA from 5 species